rnacentral:rRNA from 1 species
GCGCAGCCUGAUGGAGCACACCGCGUGAGUGAAGAAGGGUUUCGGCUCGUAAAGCUCUGUUGUUAGAGAAGAACGUGCGUGAGAGCAACUGUUCACGCAGUGACGGUAUCUAACCAGAAAGUCACGGCUAACUACGUGCCAGCAGCCGCGGUAAUACGUAGGUGGCAAGCGUUAUCCGGAUUUAUUGGGCGUAAAGCGAGCGCAGGCGGUUUGAUAAGUCUGAUGUGAAAGCCUUUGGCUUAACCAAAGAAGUGCAUCGGAAACUGUCAGACUUGAGUGCAGAAGAGGACAGUGGAACUCCAUGUGUAGCGGUGGAAUGCGUAGAUAUAUGGAAGAACACCAGUGGCGAAGGCGGCUGUCUGGUCUGCAACUGACGCUGAGGCUCGAAAGCAUGGGUAGCGAACAGGAUUAGAUACC